UACAGAGGGGGCAAGCGUUGUUCGGAAUUACUGGGCGUAAAGGGCGCGUAGGCGGCCUUCUAAGUCGAACGUGAAAUCCCUGGGCUCAACCCAGGAACUGCAUCCGAUACUGGCUGGCUUGAAUCCGGGAGAGGGAUGCAGAAUUCCAGGUGUAGCGGUGAAAUGCGUAGAUAUCUGGAGGAAUACCGGUGGCGAAGGCGGUAUCCUGGACCGGCAUUGACGCUGAUGAGCGAAAGCCAGGGGAGCAAACGGG
rnacentral:rRNA from 1 species